rnacentral:rRNA from 1 species
UACGAAGGGGGCUAGCGUUGUUCGGAAUUACUGGGCGUAAAGCGCACGUAGGCGGAUAUUUAAGUCAGGGGUGAAAUCCCAGAGCUCAACUCUGGAACUGCCUUUGAUACUGGGUAUCUUGAGUAUGGAAGAGGUAAGUGGAAUUCCGAGUGUAGAGGUGAAAUUCGUAGAUAUUCGGAGGAACACCAGUGGCGAAGGCGGCUCACUGGUCCAUUACUGACGCUGAGGUGCGAAAGCGUGGGGAGCAAACAGG